CGCGUAGGCGGCUCGGUAAGUCUGACGUGAAAUGCACCGGUUCAACCGGGGCGCUGUGUCAGAAACUGCCAGGCUUGAGGUCGAGGGAGGAAGGUGGAAUUCCUGGUGUAGCGGUGAAAUGCGUAGAUAUCAGGAGGAACACCCGUGGCGAAGGCGACCUUCUAUCUCGAUUCUGACGCUGAGGCGCGAAAGCUAGGGGAGCAAACGGGAUUAGAUACCCCGGUAGUCCUAGCCGUAAACGAUGGGCACUAGGUGUGGGAGGUAUCGACCCCUUCCGUGCCGCAGCUAACGCAUUAAGUGCCCCGCCUGGGGAGUACGGCCGCAAGGUUGAA
rnacentral:rRNA from 1 species